GAAGCAAGCCAGACCGUCGCUGGUGCAGGGUCCCGAAAGGGCGCACUGGAGGAAGGUCCGGACUGCACAGGGCAGCGCAGCAGCUAACGGCUGUCCACCGCGAGGUGAGGAUCAGAGCAACAGAGACGAGUCGGGGUCCGAUCGCAAGGUCGGGUUCCGGGUGAAACGGGCAAUCUCUGCGCGCAGCAACACCAAAUAGGCCAGCGUGACGGACCGAGGUGGCAACACCGGAGCUCGUUCGAAGUGUGGCUCCGCACAAGCUGGCGGGUAGGUGGCACCGAGCCGUGCAGCGAUGCACGGCCCAGAGGAAUGACGGUCACGGCCGGGCGAUCGCAAGAUCGAUCGGCUGCACAGAAUCCGGCCUAUCGGCUCGCUUCACAC
rnacentral:RNase_P_RNA from 1 species